CAGCAAGCACUGUUAUCCACUGAGCCACGCCACUGUCAGAGUGUCCCAUUCCAAAUGAGCUGUCUAAAAUUGGAACGGAGGGAGACCAAGGUCCAACAAUGACGGUGGUAGAGGAAAAGAUGCUUUGAAGGACACUCUCCAGUACCUGUGAUGACACACACCAGCCCCUGAAAUUUUAACCUUAAGCUGCCUCUGCAAGAGUCUUCAGUAGUCCUGGAUUCCCUGAAUUCCUGGGUAGUCAGAGACUGUAGGCUGUCAGUCGGAAGAUCUGGAGAAAAAUGUAGCUUUGGGUAAAGACUGGAUGGCUCUCCAAGAUAAGGCCUGCUCACGGGAAGUAAGCAGAGGGUUUGUUGCCCAUGCUGGGCGGAGCUGUGCUGGGCUGGGGGAGUUCUGAUUUCAACAUCUCUGAAGUGGAUGGCAGCUUCAGAAGAAGCAAGGUUUCUACGGAAGAAGAGAAAGCAGGAGGUCUCCAGUCAACACGGUAAGUAGAUAGUGUUUAAGAACUGUUUUCUGCUGUUAGAGGGAAACCGCCAUAAGCCCAUGAUACCAUCAGAUUUCAGUAGAUUGAAAGGUUGAAGGUGUUUGUCAAAGUAAUGAGGAAGAUGCAUCUGGGGAGGAAAAAAUUGAAUUGGGCGUAGCUUAGAGGUAGAGCUCUUGCCUAGCAUGUGUGAGGUCUUGGGUUCAAUCCCCAGCAAAGGACAAAAAGAAAUCUGAAGUGAUGCUAGCUGCUGUGUGGGAGCCUCUGGUGUAGCAAAGUUGUUCUGGGGACUGGAGAGCUGGGACAGGUCACAGAUCUCUAUGUGGGGCUGAGCUCUCUAGGACAGCUCUUAGCCAACACACAGAUCAUUUCAGCAGGAGUUUCCAAUUCACUUUGUGUGCACUGUGGUUCAGAAAUGUACAUUUAAUUAUUAUUUGUGGUGCUAGGAAUUGAACCCAGGGCCUGUGCAUGAUAGGCAAAUACUCUAUCAUUGAUUUAUGUCCCCCUUUUGCUUUUUAUUUUGAGAUAGGGUCUUGCUAAGUUCAAGGCUGGCUUUGAGCUAACUCUGUAGUCCAGGCUAUUGUGAACCUCCUGCCUCAGCCACUCUAGAAGUUGGCAUUACAAGCUUGUACCCCUAGAUUUAUCUUAGGUUGUAUUUUAAACAAACACUCAGGUAACCAUGACGCAGAUGGACUUUGGGCCAGGCUGUUCCACGAGAUAGCAUUCAUCUUGUAGGGCAGCCAGCCGCAUUUGAAGUUUCCUUGUCUUUGUACCUCUGUCUUUCUUCGACCACCUUUCAUGUCAAACCAAUGAUACAUAUGUUGUGGGAUAGAUGCAUGUUUGUGCUGAGUAGCGGAUAAAUAGGGAGGCGUUGUUAGGUCCAGUUAGGACCUGUAACUUGUUAGAACGGUAAUUGCAACUGGCAGUAGUUAGUCACAGAAGACCUGCCCCUCCCGCCACCUCCCUAGCACUUUCCAAGUCCCCCUUCCUGUCCUCCUAGUUCUGAUUGCUGGCUGCCAUGUGUUUCAGAAAUCUUUCCUCCGUCGAGAACCGUGAGAUUAGGAGCAUUGGUUGAUGUCCUCUGUGACACUGUGAUAUCUGUAUGGACUUUGUGGUGAGAGGGAGAGGUCCUACUCACCUGUCUCCCGGAGACUUGGCUUGUGGCGUACAGGGCUGGGCCAUGGCGGUAUUGGCAAAUACCCCACCACUUGCAGGUGUUGCCACCUGAGUCAUCCGAUAGGACAUGUCCCGUGUGGACAUUCUUCCUGUUCAGUGAAGAUGCUGUGUAGGGUAUGCUGUUGUUAGAAAAGGGCUGUAGAUUUACCGAUGUGGGCAACGGCUCCUGCUGAGCACCCGUUUCUGGACGUUAGCCAUUGGGAAGGCUAUGCAUGGGUGGAUCAGACUGUUGUUUCCCUGACUUUCCUUGACAGGUUCAGCCUCUUUCUAUUCUACUUAUAAUCACUCAGCCUGAUUGCCCACUAACUUCUAGCCAGAUACCUCUGGACUGAGGAAUUGCCAGAAACCCAUCUCAGACUGUUAGGGAACAAUUCUAUCUACUCUAAUCUCUGUCUGUGUUUUGGUUAGAGAAUUAUCUGGGUCCUUCUAUAUCAAGGGGAGUCACAGCGUGGUUGCACAAUUGAGUCACCUAGUUUUGUCACUGGAUGCUAUAUUUUGGGGAAGUGCUGUCUGUGUCUUUCCCUGGACCUGGUGGCACAGGUCUGUAACCUCAGCUGCUCAGGAGACUGAGACGGAAAGAUCUAUAGAGUUUAAGAGCUGUUGGAGCUACAGAGCAACUUCAGACCAUCUCAAAAGAAUAAAUUUAUUAAAAAUUAGAAUAAAAAAAAAGAAAAAGGAAAAGGGAGUCAGCUGUGCUUGUCUGUAAUUCCAGCAAUCAGGACCUGGAGGCCAGAAGACCCUGAGUUCAAGGUCAUCCUGAGAUAAAACAGAGAGUUCAAGUCUAACUUAGUCUACAUGAGACCCUAUUUAAAAAAAAAAAAAAGUGGGGAUUGAGGUUUGUGGAACUGGGGCUGUGUUUUGGUGGAAGAGCUCCUGCGGCCCUGGAUUUCAUCUAGUUCCAUAGAAGUAGGCUCUUCCAAGAGGAGCAUUCUCUCAGUGUUGUUCUUCUUUUCUUCAAACUUAACAGACCUUAAUCUAGCCUUCCCUAAAUGUCCUCUCUCAGAGUUUCAUUUCAUCUUUUCAUGUUGUAUCCAUGCUUUGCUCCCAUAGGCUCUGCUCUGGGUCUAUUGCCCUUACUCGAUGGUAACUGCUGCUGUAGUACUGUGGUCUUUUUUCCUAAUUCAGUCUCCUAGAAAUAGUGGCCUUACAGCUACAGGUUUCUGAGAUGUGUCCCCUGAUUCCCCAAUUCCAGGCCUCCCUGUAAUGGAGCCCUAGCUCAGUGAACCCAGUUUCAGGGUGAUACAAGUUUUCUGAAAAGUUUCCUUGACUUCCCAUCUAUUUCUUUCAGCUUUAGACGGCAAUCAUUCAUGGCUUUUCCCUGAUGAGUUAAUAGUGUUCAAUACUAACAGAUACUGGUUGCAUUUUCCUGAGACUUGCUGUAUUUGUGAACUUUCUCUGUUUCCAGCAACAUGAGGAAGUGUUUACAGGCAAAUGCUCUUCUGCUAACCUAUAUUCCUAGAAGGCACUGGUUCUUAAGGGCAGGAAGGUUAUCUCAGGGCAUGUUCUUGUGCAAAUGUAAGUGUGUGUGUGUGUGUGUGUGUGUGUGUGUGUGUGUGUGUGUGUGUGUGUACAUUCAUCUCCCUGCAGACUUCUUGGCCAAGGUCUCCUGCUCCCCCUGAGGAUGGACUUGUUUUGUUGGUGGGGUGCUAUUUGCAGAACUUAGUUUCCUUUCAUAUAAAAAUUACUAUUUUGGUUUUUUGAGACAGGAUAUCACUGUAUAACCCUGAUUGGCCUGUAAUCAUAUUUGUAGACCAGGCUGGCCUUGAGCUCACAGAGGUCUGUCUGCCCCUGUCUCCUGAGUGCUGGGACUAACGGUGUCCUCUACCACCCAGACUCUUAUGUGCAUAUUUUUAUAGGGAUGAAUGGCUAAAUGAGCAAAUGUUUUGAAAUAAUGGGGUGAUGAGAACUUCGUGAUCUUGUCUGACACUAAGGAAUAAAAAGGAAGCAGCAUCAGGGGCUAUUAUGCCUGGAAUAACUUUCUUGGUUCUUCUAUACGCUUCUGUAAGUUCUCCCCAGGGCUAGAGGUUUGGGGUAAAAACUCGUUUGUUCAGUGAUCUGUCCUAUCUGGCUACUAAGACUUCAGCUUUCUCUCAUGUUCUUCCAGCAAACCUUGAUUUUGUUUUUCCCCUGGUUGAGGACUGAGUACCUGAUGAUCCUCUUAUAAGGUUUAGAGAAAAGACAGACAAGAUCAUUUGUACUUCCUGCCUCCUAGCAAUGACCCUGGAGUGAGAAGGGACCUGGAUUUGGGUGCUUCUUUAAGACUGUGUGUGUCAGAAAUCUGAAGCCAUGGUGACCCUGGUUCAAGCUUGCUUAACAGACAGGCAGAUGUAGGUGUCACCAUUCUUGCCUUUCAUGUGUAAUUCCACAAGAUCCUGCUGACUUGAUGGCCACCUCUAGUAUUCUUCAGACACCAGGUCCCCUAGUGUGCAUAGCUGUUUGAAGUGGCAGUGUUGUCGUUAAGUGUGGCAUGAGAAAAGGGCUAAGACUGCAGACUGGUGCACCUUGGAGACCGUGUUGACUGACCUGUCAGCACCUCCAGGAUUCCUGGGAAAGUGCAUUGCUCAGUCAAUUUCUGUCUACUGUUGUGACUAGAUGGUGUGACCCACACCACCGUGUUUAGGUGUAAGAAGGCAGAGGAGGAGGGAUUUCUGGCAACAGUAACUCUUGGUAAAACCAUUCAUAGUUCAAACUUAAUCCAGCCUAACCAGGCUAAAAUGCAUGACACAGACCUCUAAUUAUCCCAAGGCAGAUGUUUACCAAGAUUUUCUUUUAAAGUUCCUUUUCUUUUCUUUCUUUCUUUUUUUUUUUAUCUUUUAUACACAAGUCACAUUCUCAGAAAGCAGAGUGGAAAAAAAAAACAAACAAAAAACCUCUUUUUCCUCAUACACAUGCUGCUAAGAAAAUACUUUUAUACAUAGAAUUUCAACAAGUGAGAGAAAAGGGUGGGGUGUGUGUGGCUUCGAGAGUGAUGCUGAGAGGCCGGGACCAGGGGCAGCAGGCACCAGGCCGCCAUAAGCUAGUUUUUCUAGUAACUGUCAUUUUUGGUAUCAACAGAACUGGUUUCAUCCUCCCCUCGAUUGGCUGGAGUCUCAGAUUCAGAGUAUGUGAGGACUAAGUAAGGAUGUAAGGUGACCCUCCCCUCAUCUCCCUUUGCUUUAGUGUUGGUGGGUAGCUGGGGGACCCUGGCAAAGCUAAGUUCUUGGGUGGUCAGAUAUGUAUUAAAUGGGUAACUAGUGUGUGAAGCCUGGAGGGAUUCCUCAGAGUUAAGGGGGAGAGAUGAAAUAGCAGGAGGAUGCAGGGAAUUUUGCAGGCUUUUCUUUGCUAAAAUAAAACAUCUAUUAAGUCUAUCCUGUGCCAUUGGGGUUCGAUUUGGGGAUUGCCAAAAUUACCCCCUGGUGGCCACACAGGAAGUAAGAUUGGGUGUGGGAAGCUUCCCCUAGGACACUGCACCCCUGUGGCAUCCCCUGGAGAGUGUGUUGUGCUUCAGGGAGUCCCUUCCUACACAUCUCCUCACAGGCCCGUAUCCCUAACAGUCAGGCAGACUCUGGGCAAGGCCUCCAGUAGAUGCUGAUUAAUGGAGGGGCUAGGCUGAGUUGGAAGGAGCAGGGCACAGGACUAAGAUGAGGGAAAGUAGAUAGGGAACAGGGGAGCCUGCAAAGGAGGUUCCAGAUAAUCAGAAGCAUGACAGGAGCCCUGGACAGGAAAAAGGAAAUGAGAAGGAAUAGGGACAGGCAAAAGGGAUACACAUCUUGAUUUCAGAAAUCAGAACUGCCCCAACCGUGCCCUCCUUCCUGGGAUGGCCAAGACUCUCACACUAGGCUUUCUGACUGCUGAGAAUGAGGAGGUUAUCACGUGUCCUGAUGCGUGUUCAUCUUAGGGGACAGGGGUCAUCAUCUCUACUGGUCCUGUCUGAGGCCUGGUACAGCAAGGGGGAGGCUACACUGCCUCUAGCCCUGCACAUCACCAGCACCCAGUAAGGGCUUGGAGACAUCAGAGCUCAGAUUGCAAGAAACUCUCAGAUGGGGUGGGGGCACAAACAGUAAACCAAAACCAAACAAACAAAACCAAAAAACUUGUUUGAUGGGAGUUUUUUUUUUUUUU